AUAACAAACCUCAACCUGAAGAACCACUUCUAUGCGGAGUUGGAUAGACAUGCCCCCCGUCUUCAGAGCCUGUUCAGGAAGAAGGCGGCAAGCAAAGGGAAGGUAGCUGAAGUUCUGAAUCAGCUAUUCGUCUCCUAUGACCUCCAGGAGCAAGGUGACGUCCAUGUCCGACGUGCUGCUGUCCUCCGUGCUCUGCCUGCAUAUCUGCAUGAAGAUGACUCCACGUUUCUGAGGCUGUGGCAUGUGGAGCAGUCUGAUGAUCCAGACAUAGAGGACAUCGCGGUCGGACUUCUCAUGAUCAGUGCCAGGUCAACAGAUACCACGCUCUUCUGCCCAGAGGAUCGCUGUUG